ACUUGUGGAGUCUGCGCAAACUCAGGGGUCAGCGUCAGAAUAGUACAGCAGUAUAAUACGGGGCUUUUGACUUGCUUUGACCAAUAGAAUGUGGAGAAGUGACACUAUUUCAAUUUCAGAACUUUUUAAUUCGCCCUUGCUCUCUUGAAACCCUGAUGCUGUAAUGAAACCAUACUGCAAUGUAGCCCAGGAGGAAAAGACCACAAAGAGAGAAGAUGCCAAGCCAUACCAGCUGUGUACCUGAGCCCAGCCUGCAGCUACCCUGCCAGCUAAAUGCAGCUGUAUAAGUGAGCCUUGGUGGAGCCAGUGGAAUCACUUCGUCGACUCAAUUGUCCUUGAUUUCCUCAGCCAUGAGACAACAAACCUCGGGUAUCACCCCCAACAAUGAGGCCACUUCAUUGUGGGGCCCAUCUGGGAUCCAAGGUAGAUUCAUCAGAAGGGCAGCACCACCUAGUGGAAUAGAAAUCCUCUCCAUGAGGAGCCCCAGGUGAUUCUGAAAAUUGAAGGAAGGAAGGAAGGUGGACCUUCUUCUAGACAUUGGAACCAGCAUCCCUCUUCUCCCUAAUCCCCUUUUCCCAUAGCAUGACCAUGAUGGGCAUCUCAGAAACUGAGGAACCUGAACAUGACUGUGAACAAGUUGUGGUACAGACCUAUGCAGCCAGGGAAGCUCUCAGGGAAACUUCCCUAGAAAAUCCAGAUGGGACGCUCUU
rnacentral:lncRNA from 1 species